CAAUAGCGUAUAUUAAAGUUGUUGCAGUUAAAAAGCUCGUAGUUGAAUUUUUGCUUGCCGCCGAUGUCGGAACUUCCGUACGUUCGGCGGCGUGCAUCCUUGGGUGGAACCUGUGUGGCAUUAGGUUGUCGUGCAGGGGAUGCUCAUCGUUUACUGUGAAAAAAUUAGAGUGUUCAAAGCAGGCUUACGCCGUUGAAUAUAUUAGCAUGGAAUAAUAAGAUAGGACCUUGGUACUAUUUUGUUGGUUUGCGCACCGAGGUAAUGAUUAACAGGGACAGUUGGGGGUAUUCGUAUUCCAUUGUCAGAGGUGAAAUUCUUGGAUUUCUGGAAGACGAACUACUGCGAAAGCAUUUACCAAGGAUGUUUUCAUUG
rnacentral:rRNA from 1 species